rnacentral:misc_RNA from 1 species
UCGUUCGCACGAAGCGUUGAACGCUKUUUUUGUGGUGCUCCGAGGCCGAGGCCCCGUACCCACCUGAUAUUCCAUACUCGAGAGACCGAGCAACCCGUCGUGGUUCGUCGGCCUGGACGCCGUUUCAUGGGCGAACAGGGCGYGAGACACGACGUGCGCUAUUUGGCCCACCCCGCGCCACCAGACCUUUCAGGUAGCAGCACAGGACGGGAAUGGAACAAUGGUAGCCGAUAGAAUGCCCUCAUGAUAGGUAUGCAGCACAGGAAAAACRACGUYGGACGAGCACUUGCUUCGUGCCAACAACUGAAGAGA